GAUGAACGCUAGCGGCAGGCCUAAUACAUGCAAGUCGAACGGUGUCUUCGGACAUAGUGGCGCACGGGUGCGUAACACGUAUGCAACCUACCUUACAUUGGGGGAUAGCCUUUCGAAAGGGAGAUUAAUACCGCAUAAGACAGUAGCUGGGCAUCCAGCAGCUGUUAAAGAUUUAUCGAUGUAAGCUGGGCAUGCGUCCAAUUAGCUAGUUGGUGAGGUAACGGCUCACCAAGGCAAUGAUUGGUAGGGGAACUGAGAGGUCAAUCCCCCACACUGGCACUGAGAUACGGGCCAGACUCCUACGGGAGGCAGCAGUAGGGAAUAUUGGGCAAUGGACGCAAGUCUGACCCAGCCAUGCCGCGUGCAGGAAGAAGGCGUUCUGCGUUGUAAACUGCUUUUAUAUAGGAAGAAACGACCCUUGCGAGGGGCAUUGACGGUAUUAUAUGAAUAAGCACCGGCUAACUCCGUGCCAGCAGCCGCCGUAACAC
rnacentral:rRNA from 1 species